CUAACGGGUUGUCUAGUUCAAGAGUUCAGACCCCGUGAUGGGCCAAAUUCGGCUGUUUGAAAGAAACUGACGGCGGAUUUCCCGCCCCAGGGGAAGCGAGGGAGUCGGGCAUCCUGCUAUAUCCCUGGAAAAUUUCCGAGGGCAAACUACCCUAGCGCAAGGGCGGCAUCCUGAGCGCCAACCUUGGAUCGGUCGGAGAAGACCCGGGAAGGCCGGGGUCCCGGAGGGGUUCCAGCUGGACAUGACAUCACCACACAGGAAAUGUUCAUGUGAUCUCCCUGUAUAACUUGGUGGCUGCUAGCUAAAAGAUGCCAUUGUCUGAGCCAUGGUCUGACACAUGGAGUGACAUCGAUAGACAUUGGGUGACUUGUAUGGAAACUCCUCUUCACAUCAAUGGUAUUGCUCUUGGUAUUCACGAGUUCUACAAAACCAACAGUAAUUCCAUUCAAAGGACUUCUGGACUUCUCUAACACUGCCUAAGAUUUUAUACAAUAUUUCUGUCGUUAACCAAGCCGUGAAAACACAUUAUUAGAAUGCCAUUAUUUAUUAAAUGGCUUCAUCUUGUUGAUUUUUAUUCAUUUUCAAGCCAUGGAACAUAAUUCAAUAACCUGAAAUAGUGUAAAACAUUGUUCUGGGGCA